AGGAGGUAAACUGAGGCUGGAGGGGCAAGAUGGGUGGCUGCUUCCCCAGCCACUUCCCAGCCACCUCUUGGAUUCUUGCCCUCAAACUCAGCUUGUCUCAAACUGAACUCACUCUGCUCCCCCAAGUUGCUUUUUGGGGGUCCUCACCUCAGUAAAUGCCCCCUCCCCUGGCUUCCCAUUCACCUAGUCAGGAACCUGGGAGUCAUCCAGGCCUCUCCCCGCCUCUGUCCCCACCCAAUUUAAUCAUUCACCCUAGUGUAGCAACCAGAGCCCCUGGCUGCAGGCUCUGAUAUUUUUUAGCUAUCUCUUCCCCUCAAGGCUACACCAAAUGCCAAGUUUUCAACCCCAUCAGACGUCCACCCCACACUAUUCUCAGCAAGCCAGUAUUAGCCCUUCCUUCCCUUGGUGCUGAGGAUGUUUGACUUAGCAGUUAAUCUGGCUCCCAAAUGCUUCUGGGAAGGAUCUUCCUGGAUCUCCAGGCUGCGGCACCUUACGCGACUAACUCUGCAUAGGCCCUGGCCUCCUGACCACAGCCCAGUGGGCCCAGGAUAAAUUAGAUGCCUUCGAAUACCAGUGGGUCUCAGAUAAGGAGGAAAAAACCAGCUCGCAGCUUCAGACUGGUUCGUUUCUUACCUUCCCCUCCCCUGGUGCUUUAUUUUUAGGCAGGUUAGUGCGCCCUGCUCACACCACCUGCAUUUGGCAUUCGGUACAGUGUGGAGGUGUCACCAGAGAGGGUGCCUGCCCUCCCUUCCUUGCCUCGUUAUUGGUUCUCUCUCUCUCCCUCUCUCUCUCUCUCUCUCUCCUCUCUCUCUCCUCUCUCCCUCUCCCUCUCUCCCUC
rnacentral:lncRNA from 10 species